rnacentral:lncRNA from 1 species
CCUCAAUAGACCGUGUUACAUGACCCUUGUGCUGUAGGUGUGUGAUGGGGGUUCUCUUGCUGCUGAGAAAGAAGACCUUGAUUUUAAAGACCUCUUACAGGACCUGAGAAGAUACAUACACACCAAAACACAAGGCAAAGAUGGAGGAAAGGAAGGAGCACCCAGCUACGUGGACUUCUGGAGCCGGAAGCCCCUCUGAGAUGCCAGGGAGCAUGAGAUUGUCUUAUUGGCAGAGGCCAGCGGUGCCUGGUGCCACAGUGGGCCUUUCUAUUCGUUCAAAUGUGACACCAGAGGAAGGCUGGGACAUCUAUCCGCUCUGCAAUGUUGACAUGCUUCACGUGUGGACUUCAUCCCCUGAUAUAUGCCUGUCAAUUUCCUACCAACUAAUGGUCAUAUAUAGAGGCUUUGUCAGAUUCAGGAGGCAUAUAAAGUCUGGCCUCACUAUUUGUGGUGUCAUCGGCUACUGAAAAAUUGUUGCCCGACUCCUGGAUGAGGAUACGGAAGCAUGCAGAGUUUAAUUUGGCCAAGUGCUCAAGACAUAGAGGAAGUCUCCAGGAAACUAUGCCACUGAGCUCUACACUACAGACCAGUAUUGAAAACUCGUUAUGAAUUCUGAGUGUAAUUCAAAUAUAU